rnacentral:rRNA from 1 species
GAUGAACGCUGGCGGCGUGCCUAAUACAUGCAAGUCGAGCGAACAGACGAGGAUCUUGCUCCUCUGACGUUAGCGGCGGACGGGUGAGUAACACGUGGAUACCCUACCUAUAAGACUGGGAUAACUUCGGGAAACCGGAGCUAAUACCGGAUAAUAUAUUGCACCGCAUGGUUCAAUGGUGAAUGACGGUUUUUGUGUCACUUAUCGAUGGUUCUGCGCCGCGUUAGCUAGUUGUGAAGGUAACGGGUUACCAAGGCAACGAGGCGUAGCCGACCGGAGAGGGGGAUAGGCCACACGGGAACUGAGACGGGGUCAAGACGACUAAGGGAGGCAGCAGAAGGCAACCGUCCGCAAUGGGCGAGAGCCUGACGGAGCAAGGGCGAGUGAGUGAUGAAAGUCUUCGGAUCGUAAAACUCUGUUAUUAGGUAAGAACAAAUGUGUAAGUAAAUAUGCACGUAUUGACGGUACCUAAUAAGAAAGCAACGGCUAACUACGUG